rnacentral:rRNA from 1 species
CAUGUCCUUUAGAUAAUAAUUUAAGGUCUGAUCUGCUCAAUGAAUAAUAAAUAGCCGCAGUAUUUUGACUGUGCGAAGGUAGCAUAAUAAAUAGUUUCUUAAUUAGAAUCUGGAAUGAAAGAUUUGACAAGAAAAUUACUGUCUCUUUUUUAGGUUUAUUGAACUUAAUUUUUAAGUGAAAAAGCUUAAAUUUUUGUAAAAGACGAGAAGACCCUAUAGAGUUUAAUAUUCUUUUAAUAUUAAUAUUUCGAAUUAUUUUUAUUAAAUGUUUAUUUAGUUGGGGUGAUUAUAAGAUUAAAUUAAUUCUUUAUUAAUUAGAAUUUUAAAUUUAAAAAUUUUAUAUAUAUUAUUAAUAAAAAUAAAAUAAAUUACCUUAGGGAUAACAGCGUAAUUUUUCUUUAAAGUUCUUAUUGUAAGGAAAGUUUGCGACCUCGAUGUUGGAUUAAAAUAAAUUUUUGGUGCAAUAACUUAAAAAUUAGGUCUGUUCGACCUUUAAAAUUUUACAUGAUCUGAGUUUAAACCGGUGUGAGCCAGGUUGGAUUCUAUCUUUAGAAAAGUUAAUAAAUUUUAGUACGAAAGGACCAGAUUUAUAUUAAAUUAAUUA